CACCCAGGGCAAUGGGCAAAGAAACACUUUGGUGGUGGUGUUCUUCUUAUACCAAUCGGGGCAGAGAAGAUGGCAACCUUUUGCUCAUCUUAGCUUGAUGCCUGGUUUGGUGGCCAAAGCUGUUUUAUGCCCAGGACACAUAA